rnacentral:tRNA from 1 species
CCCCUGCUGGCUAAGACAGUAAAGAAUCUGCCUGCCAUGCAGAAGACCCGAGUUUGAUCCCUGGGUUGGGAA